rnacentral:rRNA from 1 species
CAGUCGCGUCGGCCGGGGAUCAGCCUUGCUUAAUCGCUCGGCGUACUUCCUGGCAGACGGGUCAGCAUCAGUUUUGACCGUCGGAAAAUGGCUCGGGGAAUGUGGCACUCUUUCGGGAGUGUGUUAUAGACUCGAGUCGAAUGCGAUGGUUGGGACUGAGGAACUCAGCACGACCUUAGGGUUCGGGACUUCGGUCCACGUUUGCCGUGCUUAGGAUGGCUGGCAUAAUGGCCUUAAGCGACCGUCUUGAACACGGACCAAGGAGUCUAACAUAUAUGCGAGUGUU